rnacentral:rRNA from 1 species
UACGGAGGGUGCAAGCGUUAUCCGGAUUCACUGGGUUUAAAGGGUGCGUAGGUGGGGCUGUAAGUCAGUGGUGAAAUCUCCAAGCUUAACUUGGAAACUGCCGUUGAUACUAUAGUUCUUGAAUGUUGUGGAGGUGAGCGGAAUGUGUCAUGUAGCGGUGAAAUGCUUAGAUAUGACAUAGGACACCAAUUGCGAAGGCAGCUCACUACACAAAUAUUGACACUGAGGCACGAAAGCGUGGGGAUCAAACAGG